GACGAACGCUGGCGGCGUGCUUAACACAUGCAAGUCGAGCGGUAAGGCCCUUUCGGGGGUACACGAGCGGCGAACGGGUGAGUAACACGUGGGUGACCUGCCCUCAGCUCUGGGAUAAGCCUGGGAAACCGGGUCUAAUACUGGAUAUGACUCCAUGACGCAUGUUGUGGGGUGGAAAGCCUUGUGCGGCUGAGGAUGGGCCCGCGGCCUAUCAGCUUGUUGGUGGGGUGAGGCCUACCAAGGCGACGACGGGUAGCCGGCCUGAGAGGGCGACCGGCCACACUGGGACUGAGACACGGCCCAGACUCCUACGGGAGGCAGCAGUGGGGAAUCUUGCGCAAUGGGCGAAAGCCUGACGCAGCGACG
rnacentral:rRNA from 1 species